rnacentral:rRNA from 3 species
GGGAUUGCCCUAGUAACGGCGAGUGAAGCGGCAACAGCUCAAAUUUGAAAUCUGGCUCUUUUAGAGUCCGAGUUGUAAUUUGCAGAGGGCGCUUUGGCUUUGGCAGCGGUCCAAGUUCCUUGGAACAGGACGUCACAGAGGGUGAGAAUCCCGUACGUGGUCGCUAGCUAUUGCCGUGUAAAGCCCCUUCGACGAGUCGAGUUGUUUGGGAAUGCAGCUCUAAAUGGGAGGUAAAUUUCUUCUAAAGCUAAAUAUUGGCCAGAGACCGAUAGCGCACAAGUAGAGUGAUCGAAAGAUGAAAAGCACUUUGGAAAGAGAGUCAAACAGCACGUGAAAUUGUUGAAAGGGAAGCGCUUGCAGCCAGACUUGCUUGCAGUUGCUCAUCCGGGCUUUUGCCCGGUGCACUCUUCUGCAGGCAGGCCAGCAUCAGUUUGGGCGGUGGGAUAAAGGUCUCUGUCACGUUCCUUCCUUCGGGUUGGCCAUAUAGGGGAGAUGUCAUACCACCAGCCUGGACUGAGGUCCGCGCAUCUGCUAGGAUGCUGGCGUAAUGGCUGUAAGCGGCCCGUCUUGAAACACGGACCAAGGAGUCUAACAUCUAUGCGAGUGUUUGGGUGUCAAGCCCGAGCGCGUAAUGAAAGUGAACGGAGGUGGGAACCCGCAAGGGUGCACCAUCGACCGAUCCUGAAGUUUACGGAAGGAUUUGAGUAAGAGCAUGGCUGUUGGGACCCGAAAGAUGGUGAACUAUGCUUGAAUAGGGUGAAGCCAGAGGAAACUCUGGUGGAGGCUCGCAGCGGUUCUGACGUGCAAAUCGAUCGUCAAAUUUGGGCAUAGGGGCGAAAGACUAAUC